UCUACAAACAAAGUCAAAUCACUUGUGAUUUAAUUUCACACAGUUUUUUUUCAUACAAUUUUGCCAUGGCAAUUUGCACCUCUCUGAGAUCCAUGAAGGUGGCUCUGCUCAUCUUCGUCCUCGUCUUCGCCUUAUUACCGAUCUUCCCAACUGCUGACGCAGCUCGAUUUACUGAGGUGCUGGCUAAGAUGCCUAGGUGUCCGGCUUGUUUAUGCUGUGAGCCUCCACCGCCGGGAAUGUGCUGCCGUUGUUGUGCUUCUUCCUCUUCUUCUUCACCCUCCGGGGUUAAGACUAACAAUGGCUUUCCAUGAUAAGCUAAAUAAGUGGUGGGAUUUUCGAUUUUGGACGUGAUAAAUAAUUACAACAAUUUGGAGCUUCGAAGUCUGAGCAUCAGCAUCUAAAGAUUAUGAACUAUCAGCUUUCUUUCUUAUGUUUCUUCUCUUCUUUUUUAUGUAUGUUAUGUUCUUUCUUUCUUCUUUCUACUUUCAUCCUUUUGUUUUUCUUAAUUAUGACUAUUUUCUUGAUUUCAACAAAGAUUCGGAUUAAUUGCA